rnacentral:rRNA from 1 species
CUGCCGUUGUUGUUGUGAGAAGUUCAUUAAACCUUAUCAUUUAGAGGAAGGAGAAGUCGUAACAAGGUUUCCGUAGGUGAACCUGCGGAAGGAUCAUUGAACACACGAUCUCGGAAAAACCCUGCGAACUGUUGUUUGUACCACGAGGGAUCGUGCCCGGAGGCACGAUUGUCGGUGUCGGAGUCGGGAUUCAUGUGCGUCAGCCGUGAUCCUCCCCGCUGGUGCGUGGCGGGACUAACAAGUGACUCGGGCUUGCACCGUCGGAUCGUCCCCCGACACGCGUGGUUUCGAGUCUCAGGACUCGGAGUCGGGAGUGCGUCCCCUCCUCCGCUAGGAGGAGAGAGCUCCGAGGGAUACGAACCUGCUCUCCCCCGUGGAGGGGCACGGUUAGUUCCGAUCGGAGCGCCCUCUUCCUUUCGGGGCCCUUUUUCACCCCCAAACCGGGAACCCUGGUAAAACCAACGUUGAUUGGACUGAGGAGAAUCCGGGGUCGUCACGGCGACUCCGGGUUCCCAGGAUAGCUAAACGCAAUGACUCUCAGCAACGGAUAUCUUGGCUCUUGCAACGAUGAAGAACGCAGCGAAAUGCGAUACCUAGUGUGAAUUGCAGAAUUCCGUGAAUCAUCGAGUUUUUGAACGCAAGUUGCGCCCGAGGCUCGUCCGAGGGCAUGCCUGCCUGAGCGUCCGCUCCGACCCACCCACGAGCCCUUCCUCUUUCCUUUCGGGGAGGGGACGGGACAGAGUGCGAGUGGAACUGGUCGUCCGGGAACCUGCCCGUCUCGCAACGAGACGGACGGAGGAUUCGCGGUUGGCUGAAAAACGGGUGCCGUUCGUCAAGCGCGCGUUGGGGACAGCGGUGCGUCGCGAGAAGGUGCCGUCCUUUCGGACGUUGGUAACGAAAGCGUCGCAUCCUCCCCAGCGGAGUCGGGACUUGGCGGACAGGUGAGACAUGGGAACGUGAGGACUCGGGCAUUGCCCCUCGCGGUCUUGUCUCUCGCAAGAGAGACAGUCGCGAGGGGAACGUGUGCGAGUUCGAGCGAGACGUUGCUCGGACCUCAGAUCAGGCAAGACCACCCGCUGAGUUUAAGCAUAUCACUAAGCGGAGGAAAAGAAACUAACAAGG